GAACUUAAGCAUAUCAAUAAGCGGAGGAAAAGAAACCAACAGGGAUUACCUCAGUAACGGCGAGUGAAGCGGUAACAGCUCAAAUUUGAAAUCUGGCUCUUUCAGGGUCCGAGUUGUAAUUUGUAGAAGAUGCUUCGGGUGUGGCUCCGGUCUAAGUUCCUUGGAACAGGACGUCAUAGAGGGUGAGAAUCCCGUAUGUGACUGGUUGCCUUCGCCCAUGUGAAGCUCUUUCGACGAGUCGAGUUGUUUGGGAAUGCAGCUCUAAAUGGGUGGUAAAUUUCAUCUAAAGCUAAAUAUUGGCCAGAGACCGAUAGCGCACAAGUAGAGUGAUCGAAAGAUGAAAAGCACUUUGGAAAGAGAGUUAAACAGUACGUGAAAUUGUUGAAAGGGAAGCGCUUGCAACCAGACUUGCACGUCGUCGAUCAUCCUCAGUUCUCUGGGGUGCACUCGGCGGUGUUCAGGCCAGCAUCGGUUUCGGUGGUGGGAUAAAGGCCUUGGGAAUGUGGCUCCUCUCGGGGAGUGUUAUAGCCCUCGGUGCAAUGCCGCCUACUGGGACCGAGGACCGCGCUUCGGCUAGGAUGCUGGCGUAAUGGUUGUAAGCGACCCGUCUUGAAACACGGACCAAGGAGUCUAACAUCUAUGCGAGUGUUUGGGUGUUAAACCCAUACGCGUAAUGAAAGUGAACGGAGGUGAGAACCCUUUAGGGUGCAUCAUCGACCGAUCCUGAUGUCUUCGGAUGGAUUUGAGUAAGAGCAUAGCUGUUGGGACCCGAAAGAUGGUGAACUAUGCCUAAAUAGGGUGAAGCCAGAGGAAACUCUGGUGGAGGCUCGCAGCGGUUCUGACGUGCAAAUCGAUCGUCAAAUUUGGGUAUAGGGGCGAAAGACUAAUCGAACCAUCUAGUAGCUGGUUCCUGCCGAAGUUUCCCUCAGG
rnacentral:rRNA from 2 species